UACGUAGGGGGCAAGCGUUGUCCGGAUUUAUUGGGCGUAAAGAGCGUGUAGGCGGCCAGGUAGGUCAGCUGUGAAAACUCGAGGCUUAACCUCGAGACGCCGGCUGAAACCCUCUGGCUAGAGUCCGGAAGAGGAGAGCGGAAUUCCUGGUGUAGCGGUGAAAUGCGCAGAUAUCAGGAAGAACACCCGUGGCGAAGGCGGCUCUCUGGGACGGUACUGACGCUGAGACGCGACGGCGUGGGGAGCAAACCGG
rnacentral:rRNA from 1 species